CUCCUCUUCCUUAUUUGCUCCAUCGACGAUGACACCCUCUCUCUCAUCUUCCUUCUUCUCACACAAAGCCCUGUUUUUCAUCUGGUGAGGUGACGAUGAAGCGGGAUGUUUCUUCCUAGUCAAGUAAUGAAUGCUUCCCUUUUCAAAAGUUAAGGAUGGAUGGAGGGUCAUAACAAGCACCUCAUCUCAAGUGAUCCUCCCUUUGACAUCAUUCCAAACUCAUGAUCUUUUUCUACAUAUAUUACUUUAUGCAGCCCUUUCUUUAAGUCUUUGUGUUUUCUUUAGCUUCAUCCUUUUCUUCAGCAGUUUUCCCCUAAAAGGUUUGAACUUUGAAUUCCAUGUCUUUUUUUUUCUUUUCUAAAUGUACUUAUGAUGUCGAGCUGUUUGGCAUUUUCCAUUAUAAUUUUCCAUUAAUUUCUUGCAUACUGAAAGAGCUCUUUUCCUUUCCUGCACAGGAGAACCUGUCGAUCAAUGCCUAAUUUUAUUUUCCCACUAGUUAUAUUAAUUUCACUUUAAUUAGAAGAUAGAUUAAUAUAAAACAGAAAUGGAAAAGCAGACCUGCAAAUUUACUGAGAAAGACUGGUGAAUUUCAUGAAGCUUUCCCAAAACUUUAUUCAUUCAAAAUCUCCUCAUGGACUACGUAACUUAGGAUCAGACUAGCCAUGUUGAUAAAAAUGUUGGUCGCUGGUUUUAGAUUUCAAUUAUAUACUUGUUAUCUGCUGAAUCUCUGACCUGUUUUCCAAGCUAUUAAUUCUGCAAAAUUUUGUCUCUCUUUUGCCAUACUUGAAUUAUAUUUUGAAGUCCUUUCAUGUUUAAGCAGAAAAACAACUUACCGCUUUGUACUUUCUUACAUUAUAAAUGGCUGAUAAAACUGUGAAGAAUAUUAUAAGCUUGCAGGCCGUGGUGGACAAGGGGAGCAACAAAAUUAUCUUCGUAGAGUCUGAUAAAGAUUUUAUUGAUGUUCUCUUGAGUUUCUUGACAAUACCAAUGAUAACAAUUGUCAGGCAUGACACUAAACAUUCAGUAUCACGUUGCAUGAAUAAUUUGUCUGCCAGUGUUUGGGGACUUUUCCAAACUGAAGCAUGUAAAGAGAUGUUGCUAUGUCCCCACAAUGGGGUUGAAUUAAUCUCGUUGUGAAAACAUCAAACUGAAAAUUGACAAUGAUGAGCAGACAAGGUACUUUCUGUGUGAUAGUUGGCAAUGCCACUUCGAAAAUAAGUCAAGAAGUCAUUACAAAGGUGUUCUGUGUCAAUGUGGAAGAUGCUUGAAUCUGAAGUGCUCACUUUCGGUUUCAUCCUGUGCUGAGCAAGGUGGGGGCAUCUUUGUAAAAGAAUCAACUAGUUUCAUAAUUACUGAUGAUUUACAUGUCCCUGUUAUCGGUGGGAAGCAAUCCUGUAUUUACAAAGCUUGGAGCCAUGAAUAUAGGAGUUCAUGAGGUUGAAUGCUGUUUGCCAAUUGUUUUAUUUUUCUUUUAAUGCAACUGUAGUGUUUGUGGUUUUGACCUCAUGGUCUGUUUUUCCAUGUUUUGAACUUUCUUCUGCGCUCAUUAGUAUCAAAGAAACCUCUGUCUGAAACUCUACUGAAGCUUGAUCAUGUACCAAUUCCAAAUCCGAAUACCA